rnacentral:rRNA from 2 species
GCAUGAAGCCGGAAUCGCUAGUAAUCGCGGAUCAGCACGCCGCGGUGAAUACGUUCCCGGGCCUUGUACACACCGCCCGUCACACCACGAGAGUUUGUAACACCCGAAGUCGGUGAGGUAACCUUUUGGAGCCAGCCGCCUAAGGUGGGAUAGAUGAUUGGGGUGAAGUCGUAACAAGGUAGCCGUAUCGGAAGGUGCGGCUGGAUCACCUCCUUU